rnacentral:tRNA from 1 species
AGCCCCGUAGUGUAGCGGUCAAACCAUUUGGGACUUAGCAUUCAUGGCUCUGGACCAUGAGACCGAGGUUCGAAUCCUCGCGGGGCUA